UACGUAGGGGGGCAAGCGUUGUCCGGAUUUAUUGGGCGUAAAGAGCGUGUAGGCGGCCAGGGAGGUCCGUUGUGAAAACUCGAGGCUCAACCUCGAGACGCCGAUGGAAACCCCCUGGCUAGAGUCCGGAAGAGGAGAAUGGAAUUCUGGUGUAGCGGUGAAAUGCGCAGAUAUCAGGAGGAACACCGGUGGCGAAGGCGGAUCGUCUGGGCAUCUCCUGACGCUGAGGCGCGAAAGCGUGGGGAGCAAACGGG
rnacentral:rRNA from 1 species